CGAACCACCUCGCUGGCGUUGGCGGGUGGAUAAGGCUCCACCCACGCCGCUGAGGGGAUAAGUCUCCCCCUCAGCCUCGUCCUCAUCAAGCCCCGAUAUUUCGCCACUCUCUCGCCUCCUCACUUGUCCUCUCUGUUGAGGGGGAGAAGCAGCCGAGCCCCCCGUCGCCGCCCGCCGUCGCCCACCGCGGUGACCGCCUCCCACGUGCUCCUCUGAUUGGUUCAACACCUCCGCCGUCUUCCGCUGCUACCUCUAUGUCGACGCGCGCGAGCUGGGAGGCGCUGCAGCCCCGGAUCCCCGUGGUCUUCCACCUCGGGUAAUGCCGCCCUCGCCAUCGAAUUCCGGCAUCUCCGAGCCUCCCCCGAGCCCACUUCGCGCAUCUGCAGGAGCGAUAUGGUGGAUCCCUGGAGUCAGAUGCCAUCGCCGACGGAUGCUACUACGUGGAGACCGCCGACGACCAGGAGUAGUUAGGAGGUCCCAGGCAGGAGGCCUUGCCUCUUCGAUCGUUGCAUCGUUUGUGCUAGCCUUCUUAAGGCAGAACUUGUUUAACUUAUGUCUGUACUCAGAUAUUGUUGCUCCCGCUGACUCGCUUAUGUAUCGAGCUACGUAUUCGAGCCCUCGAGGCCCCUGGCUUGUAAUAUGAAGCUUGUAUGACUUUCAUUUGUGUUUA